GCUGGGCAUGGUGGCAUGUGAUUCUAGUCCAAGCUAUUUGGGGGGCGCUGAGGCAGGAGGAAUGCUUGGGGCCAAAGUUCUGGGCCAUAGUGCUCUAUGCCAAUUGGAUGUCUGCGCUAAGUUUGGCAUCAAUAUGGUGACCUCCUGGAAGUGGGGCCCGCCAGGCUGGCAGAGGAGGGGUGAAUGGAACCAGGUCAGAAGCAGAGGAGGUUAUAACUCCUGUGCUGAUCAGGAGUUAGAUUGUCUGUGAAUAGCUACUGCACUCCAUCCUGGGCAACAUAGUGAGACCCUAUU
ensembl:misc_RNA Metazoa_SRP Metazoan signal recognition particle RNA